rnacentral:rRNA from 1 species
UACGAGGGGUGCAAGCGUUGCUCGGAAUUAUUGGGCGUAAAGGGUAGGUAGGUGGUCUUAUUUGUCAGGGGUGAAAGCCUUGGGCUUAACCCGAGAAGUGCCCCUGAAACGGUAAGACUUGAGUCUUGGAGAGGUGAGUGGAAUUCCCGGUGUAGCGGUGAAAUGCGUAGAGAUCGGGAGGAACACCAGAGGCGAAGGCGGCUCACUGGACAAGCACUGACACUCAACUACGAAAGCGUGGGGAGCAAACAGG